rnacentral:rRNA from 1 species
AAUGAGCGCUGGCGGCAUGCCUAACACAUGCAAGUCGAACGAAGGCUUCGGCCUUAGUGGCGCACGGGUGCGUAACGCGUGGGAAUCUGCCCUUGGGUUCGGAAUAACAGGUAGAAAUGACUGCUAAUACCGGAUGAUGUCGUAAGACCAAAGAUUUAUCGCCCAAGGAUGAGCCCGCGUAGGAUUAGCUAGUUGGUGUGGUAAAGGCCUACCAAGGCGACGAUCCUUAGCUGGUCUGAGAGGAUGAUCAGCCACACUGGGACUGAGACACGGCCCAGACUCCUACGGGAGGCAGCAGUGGGGAAUAUUGGACAAUGGGCGAAAGCCUGAUCCAGCAAUGCCGCGUGAGUGAUGAAGGCCUUAGGGUUGUAAAGCUCUUUUACCCGGGAUGAUAAUGACAGUACCGGGAGAAUAAGCUCCGGCUAACUUCGUG